rnacentral:rRNA from 1 species
CAGCCGCCGCGGUAAUACGAAGGGACCUAGCGUAGUUCGGAAUUACUGGGCUUAAAGAGUUCGUAGGUGGUUGAAAAAGUUAGUGGUGAAAUCCCAGAGCUUAACUCUGGAACUGCCAUUAAAACUUUUCAGCUAGAGUAUGAUAGAGGAAAGCAGAAUUUCUAGUGUAGAGGUGAAAUUCGUAGAUAUUAGAAAGAAUACCAAUUGCGAAGGCAGCUUUCUGGAUCAUUACUGACACUGAGGAACGAAAGCAUGGGUAGCGAAGAGGAUUAGAUACCCUCGUAGUCCAUGCCGUAAACGAUGUGUGUUAGACGUUGGAAAUUUAUUUUCAGUGUCGCAGGGAAACUGAUAAACACACCGCCUGGGGAGUACGACCGCAAGGUUAAAACUCAAAUGAAUUGACGGGGACCCGCACAAGUAGUGGAGCAUGUGGUUUAAUUCGAAGAUACGCGCAGAACCUUACCAACACUUGACAUGUUCGUCGCGACUCUAAGAGAUUAGAGUUUUCGGUUCGGCCGGACGAAACACAGGUGCUGCAUGGCUGUCGUCAGCUCGUGUCGUGAGAUGUUGGGUUAAGUCCCGCAACGAGCGCAACCCUCACUUUUAGUUGCCAUCAUUAAGUUGGGCACUCUGAAAGAACUGCCAGUGAUAAGCUGGAGGAAGGUGGGGAUGACGUCAAGUCCUCAUGGCCCUUACGUGUUGGGCUACACACGUGCUACAAUGGUAUCUACAACAGGAAGCAAGACUGCGAAGUUAAGCAAAUCCCUAAAAGAUACCUCAGUUCGGAUUGCACUCCGCAACUCGAGUGCAUGAAGCUGGAAUUACUAGUAAUCGUGGAUCAGCGUGCCACGGUGAAUGCGUUCCCGGGUCUUGCACACACCGCCCG